AGUUACAAAGGACGACAUUAGACGAAUCAUCUGGAAAGAUGAAUCAAAGAAGGUAAUAAUCCUGUAGUCGAAAAUGUUGUCUCUCUUGAGUGGAUCCUGAGUAUGACGGAGCACGUGAAAUUCCGUCGGAAUCUGGGAGGACCAUCUCCUAAGGCUAAAUACUCUCUAGUGACCGAUAGUGAACCAGUACCGUGAGGGAAAGGUGAAAAGCACCCCGGAAGGGGAGUGAAAUAGAACCUGAAACCGUGUGCUUACAAGUAGUCAGAGCCCGUUAAUGGGUGAUGGCGUGCCUUUUGUAGAAUGAACCGGCGAGUUACGAUUUGAUGCAAGGUUAAGCAGUAAAUGUGGAGCCGUAGCGAAAGCGAGUCUGAAUAGGGCGUUUAGUAUUUGGUCGUAGACCCGAAACCAGGUGAUCUACCCUUGGUCAGGUUGAAGUUCAGGUAACACUGAAUGGAGGACCGAACCGACUUACGUUGAAAAGUGAGCGGAUGAACUGAGGGUAGCGGAGAAAUUCCAAUCGAACCUGGAGAUAGCUGGUUCUCUCCGAAAUAGCUUUAGGGCUAGCCUCAAGUGAUGAUUAUUGGAGGUAGAGCACUGUUUGGACGAGGGGCCCCUCUCGGGUUACCGAAUUCAGACAAACUCCGAAUGCCAAUUAAUUUAACUUGGGAGUCAGAACAUGGGUGAUAAGGUCCGUGUUCGAAAGGGAAACAGCCCAGACCACCAGCUAAGGUCCCAAAAUAUAUGUUAAGUGGAAAAGGAUGUGGCGUUGCCCAGACAACUAGGAUGUUGGCUUAGAAGCAGCCAUCAUUUAAAGAGUGCGUAAUAGCUCACUAGUCGAGUGACACUGCGCCGAAAAUGUACCGGGGCUAAACAUAUUACCGAAGCUGUGGAUUGUCCUAUGGACAAUGGUAGGAGAGCGUUCUAAGGGCGUUGAAGCAU
rnacentral:rRNA from 1 species